UACGUAGGGAGCAAGCGUUGUUCGGAUUUACUGGGCGUAAAGGGCGCGUAGGCGGCAGAUCAAGUCAGUUGUGAAAAUCUCUGAGCUUAACUCAGAACUGUCAACUGAUACUGCUCUGCUAGAGUGCGGAAGGGGCAAUCGGAAUUCUUGGUGUAGCGGUGAAAAUGCGUAGAUAUCAAGAGGAACACCUGAGGUGAAGACGGGUUGCUGGGGCCGACACUGACGCUGAGUGCGCGAAAGCCAGGGGAGCAAACGGGG
rnacentral:rRNA from 1 species